UGGGGUUAAGAGACCAACUCAAUAAGCAUACAACGAUGAGAGAGGACCAUGCAACGGGUCUCGGGAUUGGAUUUUUGGGAUAGAAACUCAAUGAUUAUAUUCUUAUAAUAAAGAACAGGUUUAUUAUUUAUCAGAAAAAGCAACAGGUUUAUUGUCUUCAUGGACGGAGGCAGAAUGGGUUAAUUACUUUUUUUGAUCACCGACUUACAAAAAAAUUAAAACAAAAUAGCCACUGAUCU
rnacentral:lncRNA from 1 species